UUAAGCGACUAAGCGUACACGGUGGAUGCCCUGGCAGUCAGAGGCGAUGAAGGGCGUGCUAAUCUGCGAUAAGCGCCGGUAAGGUGAUAUGAACCGUUAUAACCGGCGAUACCCGAAUGGGGAAACCCAGUGUGAUUCGUCACACUAUCAUUAACUGAAUCCAUAGGUUAAUGAGGCGAACCGGGGGAACUGAAACAUCUAAGUACCCCGAGGAAAAGAAAUCAACCGAGAUUCCCCCAGUAGCGGCGAGCGAACGGGGAGGAGCCCAGAGCCUGAAUCAGCAUGUGUGUUAGUGGAAGCGUCUGGAAAGGCGCGCGAUACAGGGUGACAGCCCCGUACACAAAAGCGCAUGUGCUGUGAGCUCGAUGAGUAGGGCGGGACACGUGGUAUCCUGUCUGAAUAUGGGGGGACCAUCCUCCAAGGCUAAAUACUCCUGACUGACCGAUAGUGAACCAGUACCGUGAGGGAAAGGCGAAAAGAACCCCGGCGAGGGGAGUGAAAAAGAACCUGAAACCGUGUACGUACAAGCAGUGGGAGCCCCACCACCAAAGCAUUCUCUGGUGUUGAAGGCCCUGCAAAGCAGCAUCGCGGUGGCGGAGCGUCGUUUGCGACGCCCAACACACAAAACAAGCGGUGAGUGCUUUGGGGUGGGGUGACUGCGUACCUUUUGUAUAAUGGGUCAGCGACUUAUAUUCUGUAGCAAGGUUAACCGAAUAGGGGAGCCGGAGGGAAACCGAGUCUUAAUUGGGCGUUAAGUUGCAGGGUAUAGACCCGAAACCCGGUGAUCUAGCCAUGGGCAGGUUGAAGGUUGGGUAACACUAACUGGAGGACCGAACCGACUAAUGUUGAAAAAUUAGCGGAUGACCUGUGGCUGGGGGUGAAAGGCCAAUCAAACCGGGAGAUAGCUGGUUCUCCCCGAAAGCUAUUUAGGUAGCGCCUCGUGAAUUCAUCUCCGGGGGUAGAGCACUGUUUCGGCUAGGGGGCCAUCCCGGCUUACCAACCCGAUGCAAACUGCGAAUACCGGAGAAUGUUAUCACGGGAGACACACGGCGGGUGCUAACGUCCGUCGUGAAGAGGGAAACAACCCAGACCGCCAGCUAAGGUCCCAAAGUCAUGGUUAAGUGGGAAACGAUGUGGGAAGGCCCAGACAGCCAGGAUGUUGGCUUAGAAGCAGCCAUCAUUUAAAGAAAGCGUAAUAGCUCACUGGUCGAGUCGGCCUGCGCGGAAGAUGUAACGGGGCUAAACCAUGCACCGAAGCUGCGGCAGCGAACGUAUCACCCAAGACAACUUUACGGAGUUGACGAUUGACGGAGCGAAGCGACGUCAAAGCGUUCAUUAAAGUCGAGUUGGCUUAGGGAUACGUUCGUUGGGUAGGGGAGCGUUCUGUAAGCCUGUGAAGGUGGCCUGUGAGGGUUGCUGGAGGUAUCAGAAGUGCGAAUGCUGACAUAAGUAACGAUAAAGCGGGUGAAAAGCCCGCUCGCCGGAAGACCAAGGGUUCCUGUCCAACGUUAAUCGGGGCAGGGUGAGUCGACCCCUAAGGCGAGGCCGAAAGGCGUAGUCGAUGGGAAACAGGUUAAUAUUCCUGUACUUGGUGUUACUGCGAAGGGGGGACGGAGAAGGCUAUGUUGGCCGGGCGACGGUUGUCCCGGUUUAAGCGUGUAGGUGUGUGUUCCAGGUAAAUCCGGUUCACUUUAACACUGAGGCGUGAUGACGAGGCACUACGGUGCUGAAGCAACAAAUGCCCUGCUUCCAGGAAAAGCCUCUAAGCAUCAGGUAACAUCAAAUCGUACCCCAAACCGACACAGGUGGUCAGGUAGAGAAUACCAAGGCGCUUGAGAGAACUCGGGUGAAGGAACUAGGCAAAAUGGUGCCGUAACUUCGGGAGAAGGCACGCUGACACGUAGGUGAAGUGAUUUACUCACGGAGCUGAAGUCAGUCGAAGAUACCAGCUGGCUGCAACUGUUUAUUAAAAACACAGCACUGUGCAAACACGAAAGUGGACGUAUACGGUGUGACGCCUGCCCGGUGCCGGAAGGUUAAUUGAUGGGGUCAGCGCAAGCGAAGCUCCUGAUCGAAGCCCCGGUAAACGGCGGCCGUAACUAUAACGGUCCUAAGGUAGCGAAAUUCCUUGUCGGGUAAGUUCCGACCUGCACGAAUGGCGUAAUGAUGGCCAGGCUGUCUCCACCCGAGACUCAGUGAAAUUGAACUCGCUGUGAAGAUGCAGUGUACCCGCGGCAAGACGGAAAGACCCCGUGAACCUUUACUAUAGCUUGACACUGAACAUUGAGCCUUGAUGUGUAGGAUAGGUGGGAGGCUUUGAAGUGUGGACGCCAGUCUGCAUGGAGCCGACCUUGAAAUACCACCCUUUAAUGUUUGAUGUUCUAACGUGGACCCGUAAUCCGGGUUGCGGACAGUGUCUGGUGGGUAGUUUGACUGGGGCGGUCUCCUCCUAAAGAGUAACGGAGGAGCACGAAGGUUGGCUAAUCCUGGUCGGACAUCAGGAGGUUAGUGCAAUGGCAUAAGCCAGCUUGACUGCGAGCGUGACGGCGCGAGCAGGUGCGAAAGCAGGUCAUAGUGAUCCGGUGGUUCUGAAUGGAAGGGCCAUCGCUCAACGGAUAAAAGGUACUCCGGGGAUAACAGGCUGAUACCGCCCAAGAGUUCAUAUCGACGGCGGUGUUUGGCACCUCGAUGUCGGCUCAUCACAUCCUGGGGCUGAAGUAGGUCCCAAGGGUAUGGCUGUUCGCCAUUUAAAGUGGUACGCGAGCUGGGUUUAGAACGUCGUGAGACAGUUCGGUCCCUAUCUGCCGUGGGCGCUGGAGAACUGAGGGGGGCUGCUCCUAGUACGAGAGGACCGGAGUGGACGCAUCACUGGUGUUCGGGUUGUCAUGCCAAUGGCACUGCCCGGUAGCUAAAUGCGGAAGAGAUAAGUGCUGAAAGCAUCUAAGCACGAAACUUGCCCCGAGAUGAGUUCUCCCUGAGACUUAGAGUCUCCUGAAGGAACGUUGAAGACGACGACGUUGAUAGGCCGGGUGUGUAAGCGCAGCGAUGCGUUGAGCUAACCGGUACUAAUGAACCGUGAGGCUUAACCUU
rnacentral:rRNA from 1 species